rnacentral:rRNA from 1 species
GUGGGCAACCUGCCUGUAAGACUGGGAUAACUCCGGGAAACCGGGGCUAAUACCGGAUAAUUCAUCUCCUCACAUGAGGGGAUGCUGAAAGACGGCUUCGCGCUGUCACUUACAGAUGGGCCCGCGGCGCAUUAGCUAGUUGGGGAGGUAACGGCUCACCAAGGCAACAAUGCGUAGCCAACCUGAAAGGGUGAUCGGCCACCCUGGGACUGAAACACGGCCCAAACUCCUACGGGAGGCAGCAGUAGGGAAUCUUCCGCAAUGGACGAAAGUCUGACGGACCACCGCCGCGUGAGCGAAAAAGGCCUUCGGGUCGUAAAGCUCUGUUGUUAGGGAAAAACAAGUACCGGAGUCACUGCCGGUACCUUGACGGUACCUAACCAAAAAGCCACGGCUAACUACGUGCCACCAGCCGCGGUAAUACGUAGGUGGCAAGCGUUGUCCGGAAUUAUUGGGCGUAAAGCGCGCGCAGGCGGUCCUUUAAGUCUGAUGUGAAAGCCCACGGCUCAACCGUGGAGGGUCAUUGGAAACUGGGGGA